rnacentral:rRNA from 1 species
CAGUCGCCGCGGUAAUACGAAGGGUGCAAGCGUUACUCGGAAUUACUGGGCGUAAAGCGUGCGUAGGUGGUGGUUUAAGUCCGUUGUGAAAGCCCUGGGCUCAACCUGGGAAUUGCAGUGGAUACUGGGUCACUAGAGUGUGGUAGAGGAUAGUGGAAUUUCCGGUGUAGCAGUGAAAUGCGUAGAGAUCGGAAGGAACAUCUGUGGCGAAGGCGACUAUCUGGGCCAACACUGACACUGAGGCACGAAAGCGUGGGGAGCAAACAGGAUUAGAGACCCGUGUAGUCCCUGUCUCUUAUAC